rnacentral:rRNA from 1 species
UACGGGGGGGGCAAGCGUUGUUCGGAAUUACUGGGCGUAAAGGGUCUGUAGGUGGCCAACUAAGUCAGACGUGAAAUCCCUCAGCUUAACCGGGGAACUGCGUCUGAUACUGGUUGGCUUGAGUGCAGGAGAGGAAUGCGGAAUUCCAGGUGUAGCGGUGAAAUGCGUAGAUAUCUGGAGGAACACCGGUGGCGAAGGCGGCAUUCUGGACUGCAACUGACACUGAAAGACGAAAGCCAGGGGAGCAAACGGG